UACGUAGGGUGCGAGCGUUAAUCGGAAUUACUGGGCGUAAAGCGUGCGCAGGCGGUUCGUUGUGUCGGUGGUGAAAUCCCCGGGCUUAACCUGGGAAUGGCCAUGGAAACUGGCGAACUGGAGUGCGGCAGAGGGGGGUGGAAUUCCGCGUGUAGCAGUGAAAUGCGUAGAGAUGCGGAGGAACACCAGUGGCGAAGGCGGCGACCUGGACCUGUGCUGACGCUGAUGCGCGAAAGCGUGGGGAGCGAUCCGG
rnacentral:rRNA from 1 species